rnacentral:rRNA from 1 species
GCUUGCCUUAAUAUCUAGAUUUAUACCCGAACUCUUACCGAACUCGAGCGUCCUUAUUUAGAUAGCCACACAUACUACUUUUAUGGGAACCAUGGCUAAAUAAUAUUGGUUG